rnacentral:rRNA from 1 species
AGGAUGAACGCUGGCGGCGUGCCUAAUACAUGCAAGUGAAACGGGUAUCUUCGGAUACCAGUCGCGGACGGGUGAGUAAUACAUAGGCAACCUGCCUUUAUGAGGGGGAUAACCGAGGGAAACUUUGGCUAAUACCGCAUGAAGACUCUAAGGCAUCUAGAGGGAUAAAAGUUGGAAACAACGCAUGAAGAUGGGCUUAUGGCGCAUUAGCUAGUUGGUGAGAUAGAAGCCCACCAAGGUAAUGAUGCGUAGCCGACCUGAGAGGGUGAACGGCCACAUUGGGACUGAGACACGGCCCAAACUCCUACGGGAGGCAGCAGUAGGGAAUUUUCGGCAAUGGGGGGAACCCUGACCGAGCAACGCCCGCGUGAAGGAAGAAGGUUUUCGGAUUGUAAACUUCUGUUAUAAGGGAAGAACGGAUUGGAUAGGGAAUGAUCUGAUAGUGGCGGUACCUUAUUAGAAAGCCACGGCUAACUACGUGCCAGCCGCCGC